GGAGCCGGAUCCACGGGGCGGCCCGGUGCGACCGGCCGACGGAUACUUCCACGACAGAGACUGCGGGUUCGAAUCCCGUCCGGCUCCG
rnacentral:tRNA from 1 species